GUGCUUGCUUCAGCAGCACAUAUACUAAAAUUAGAAUGAUACAGAGAUGAUUAGCAUGGCCCCCAUGCAAGAAUGACAUGCAAAUUCGUGAAGCGUUCCAUAUAUUU
rnacentral:snRNA from 1 species